UUUCAUUUAAUGAAAGCCCAACAAGGGCAACUUACAAGAGUUUUCGAAACCUAACCCACAGCUCUUCAGUUAUACAUUUUAAAUCCAACUAAAGCCCAUUUAUCUCUAACAUAUAAUUAUUAAAUAUAACGCAACACGUGUUACAUACGUGGAGGGCUAAAAGAAAGCUAUGGAUGAAACGUUGUCGACACCACAUCAUCGGAAAAUAGCUUCGCCGGACCACCGAUCUAAACUCCGACGGUGAUGUUGCAGAAUUCCAGCAAAUCGAGGGUGUCUUCUUUGAAAACCAACCUUGUAAAACUCCAUCUACCGACAUUUUUAAGAAGAUCCUGAAUGAAUGAUGGACUCUUCUCUUCCAUAAAAUCACCUCCGAUCAUCACUACUUCAUGGCUAAUACCCUCUGCCUUAACAAAGGCAUUUGAGAAGAGGAUUUAGGGAGAUUCUACUCCCAACCAAGAGAAAAUGAUACCAGAUGUUGGAUUAGAGAUUUCAACCAUCAUCGCCGGAUUUGGGCCUCACCACUUUGUGCAAGAAGAGAAGCCAAACCUGUAGAAUAGAGUUAUAAAAUCCGAAUACAGAAAUCCUUUUGCUUUAUCCUUUAGAAAUCCAAACUGAUCGAUUCUUUUAAUUGAUAGAGAUCUUUUCUUCACUAAGAUUAGCGAAGAUGAUGACUUUAUAUAUGAAGAAUCGAUCUGAUCUAACAAAAGGAAAUCUGGAACGGAAAGAUAAAAUCCGAUGAACGGAAUACAAGAAUCUGACUUAAAGAAAUAUGAAACAACAAAAGAUCUUAAAGUC
rnacentral:lncRNA from 1 species